rfam:Shigella dysenteriae Sd197, complete genome.
CAAAUCAUGCAAAUCCAAAAUAUUGCAGGAGUUAUGUAGGCCU